rnacentral:rRNA from 1 species
AAGGAUCAUUAACGAGUUUGAAGUGGGCUUGAUGCUGGCUUGUAACAGAGCACUGUGCUCAGCCCCGCUCCAAUCCAUUCAACCCCUGUGCACUAUUCGGAGUGUUGCAAGCUGAGACAAUGUGGGGAGUGGUCCCGGUUGUAUUUCUANUGCGACUUGGGCUUACUUUCAAACGGUCAAGGCUUGUCCUCCGGUUUAUAUUACAAACACUUUUAUUGUCUUGUCGAAUGUAUUAGCCUCUCGUUAGGCGAAACUUAAAUACAACUUUCAACAACGGAUCUCUUGGCUCUCGCAUCGAUGAAGAACGCAGCGAAAUGCGAUAAGUAAUGUGAAUUGCAGAAUUCAGUGAAUCAUCGAAUCUUUGAACGCACCUUGCGCUCCUUGGCUAUUCCGAGGAGCAUGCCUGUUUGAGUGUCAUGUUAAUAUCAACUCUGAUGGUUUUUGUUAACCAUUGGAUGUUGGACUUGGAGGUUCGUGCUGGCUGCAAAGUCGGCUCCUCUUGAAUGCAUUAGCUUGGACCUGUGCGCGUUUGCUAGCGGUGUAAUACAUUUUAUUCACCACGGGCCGUGUCACUAUUAAGGGUCUGCUUCUAAUCGUCCUUACCGGACAAUAAUAAACUUUAUGACUCUGACCUCAAAUCAGGUAGGACUACCCGCUGAACUUAA